UACGGAGGAUGCAAGCGUUAUCCGGAAUGAUUGGGCGUAAAGCGUCCGCAGGUGGCUGUGUAAGUCUGCUGUUAAAGAGUCUAGCUCAACUAGAUACAAGCAGUGGAAACUACACGGCUAGAGUACGUUCGGGGCAGAGGGAAUUUCCGGUGGAGCGGUGAAAUGCGUAGAGAUCGGAAAGAACACCAACGGCGAAAGCACUCUGCUGGGCCGACACUGACACUGAGAGACGAAAGCUAGGGGAGCGAAUGGG
rnacentral:rRNA from 1 species